rnacentral:rRNA from 1 species
GAUGAACGCUAGCGACAGGCCUAACACAUGCAAGUCGAGGGGCAGCGAGGAUGUAGCAAUACAUUUGUCGGCGACCGGCGCACGGGUGAGUAACGCGUAUGCAACCUACCCGACACAGGGGGAUAACCCGGAGAAAUCCGGACUAAUACCGCAUAAAACAGGGGUCCCGCAUGGGAAUAUUUGUUAAAGAGUUAUCGGUGUCGGAUGGGCAUGCGUUCCAUUAGCUAGUUGGUGAGGUAACGGCUCACCAAGGCAACGAUGGAUAGGGGUUCUGAGAGGAAGGUCCCCCACACUGGUACUGAGACACGGACCAGACUCCUACGGGAGGCAGCAGUGAGGAAUAUUGGUCAAUGGACGGAAGUCUGAACCAGCCAAGUCGCGUGAAGGAAGACGGUUCUAUGAAUUGUAAACUGCUUUUGUACAAGGGUAAACCCUGGGACGCGU